rnacentral:rRNA from 1 species
UGCAGUAGAACGCUGAAGAGAGGAGCUUGCUCUUCUUGGAUGAGUUGCGAACGGGUGAGUAACGCGUAGGUAACCUGCCUUGUAGCGGGGGAUAACUAUUGGAAACGAUAGCUAAUACCGCAUAACAAUGGAUGACACAUGUCAUUUAUUUGAAAGGGGCAAUUGUUCCACUACAAGAUGGACCUGCGUUGUAUUAGCUAGUAGGUGAGGUAAUGGCUCACCUAGGCGACGAUACAUAGCCGACCUGAGAGGGUGAUCGGCCACACUGGGACUGAGACACGGCCCAGACUCCUACGGGAGGCAGCAGUAGGGAAUCUUCGGCAAUGGGGGCAACCCUGACCGAGCAACGCCGCGUGAGUGAAGAAGGUUUUCGGAUCGUAAAGCUCUGUUGUAAGUCAAGAACGGGUGUGAGAGUGGAAAGUUCACACUGUGACGGUAGCUUACCAGAAAGGGACGGCUAACUACGUGCCAGCAGCCGCGGUAAUACGUAGGUCCCGAGCGUUGUCCGGAUUUAUUGGGCGUAAAGCGAGCGCAGGCGGUUUGAUAAGUCUGAAGUUAAAGGCUGUGGCUCAACCAUAGUUCGCUUUGGAAACUGUCAAACUUGAGUGCAGAAGGGGAGAGUGGAAUUCCAUGUGUAGCGGUGAAAUGCGUAGAUAUAUGGAGGAACACCGGUGGCGAAAGCGGCUCUCUGGUCUGUAACUGACGCUGAGGCUCGAAAGCGUGGGGAGCGAACAGGAUUAGAUACCCUGGUAGUCCACGCCGUAAACGAUGAGUGCUAGGUGUUGGAUCCUUUCCGGGAUUCAGUGCCGCAGCUAACGCAUUAAGCACUCCGCCUGGGGAGUACGACCGCAAGGUUGAAACUCAAAGGAAUUGACGGGGGCCCGCACAAGCGGUGGAGCAUGUGGUUUAAUUCGAAGCAACGCGAAGAACCUUACCAGGUCUUGACAUCCCGAUGCUAUUUCUAGAGAUAGAAAGUUACUUCGGUACAUCGGUGACAGGUGGUGCAUGGUUGUCGUCAGCUCGUGUCGUGAGAUGUUGGGUUAAGUCCCGCAACGAGCGCAACCCCUAUUGUUAGUUGCCAUCAUUCAGUUGGGCACUCUAGCGAGACUGCCGGUAAUAAACCGGAGGAAGGUGGGGAUGACGUCAAAUCAUCAUGCCCCUUAUGACCUGGGCUACACACGUGCUACAAUGGUUGGUACAACGAGUUGCGAGUCGGUGACGGCGAGCUAAUCUCUUAAAGCCAAUCUCAGUUCGGAUUGUAGGCUGCAACUCGCCUACAUGAAGUCGGAAUCGCUAGUAAUCGCGGAUCAGCACGCCGCGGUGAAUACGUUCCCGGGCCUUGUACACACCGCCCGUCACACCACGAGAGUUUGUAACACCCGAAGUCGGUGAGGUAACCUUUGGAGCCAGCCGCCUAAG